GACGAACGCUAGCGGCGUGCUUAACACAUGCAAGUCGAACGGUGAACGAGGGAGCUUGCUCCCUCCGGAUCAGUGGCGAACGGGUGAGUAACACGUGAGCAAUCUGCCCCGAACUCUGGGAUAAGCGUUGGAAACGACGUCUAAUACCGGAUACGACGCGGGAGGGCAUCCUCUCCGCGUGGAAAGAACUUCGGUUCGGGAUGAGCUCGCGGCCUAUCAGCUUGUUGGUGAGGUAACGGCUCACCAAGGCGACGACGGGUAGCCGGCCUGAGAGGGUGACCGGCCACACUGGGACUGAGACACGGCCCAGACUCCUACGGGAGGCAGCAGUGGGGAAUAUUGCACAAUGGGCGCAAGCCUGAUGCAGCAACGCCGCGUGAGGGACGACGGCCUUCGGGUUGUAAACCUCUUUUAGCAGGGAAGAAGCGAAAGUGACGGUACCUGCAGAAAAAGCACCGGCUAACUACGUG
rnacentral:rRNA from 1 species